rnacentral:rRNA from 1 species
CAUGCAAGUCGAACGAACUCUUCGGAGUUAGUGGCGGACGGGUGAGUAACACGUGGGAACGUGCCUUUUGGUUCGGAAUAACUCAGGGAAACUUGUGCUAAUACCGAAUGUGCCCUUCGGGGGAAAGAUUUAUCGCCAUUAGAGCGGCCCGCGUCUGAUUAGCUAGUUGGUGAGGUAAAGGCUCACCAAGGCGACGAUCAGUAGCUGGUCUGAGAGGAUGAUCAGCCACAUUGGGACUGAGACACGGCCCAAACUCCUACGGGAGGCAGCAGUGGGGAAUCUUGCGCAAUGGGCGAAAGCCUGACGCAGCCAUGCCGCGUGAAUGAUGAAGGUCUUAGGAUUGUAAAAUUCUUUCACCGGGGACGAUAAUGACGGUACCCGGAGAAGAAGCCCCGGCUAACUUCGUGCCAGCAGCCGCGGUAAUACGAAGGGGGCUAGCGUUGCUCGGAAUUACUGGGCGUAAAGGGAGCGUAGGCGGACAUUUAAGUCAGGGGUGAAAUCCCGGGGCUCAACCUCGGAAUUGCCUUUGAUACUGGGUGUCUUGAGUAUGAGAGAGGUAUGUGGAACUCCGAGUGUAGAGGUGAAAUUCGUAGAUAUUCGGAAGAACACCAGUGGCGAAGGCGACAUACUGGCUCAUUACUGACGCUGAGGCUCGAAAGCGUGGGGAGCAAACAGGAUUAGAUACCCUGGUAGUCCACGCCGUAAACGAUG